rnacentral:tRNA from 1 species
UAGAGUUAGAGCAUGCGAUUGAAGGGAGAAGAGGAAAGUUAUCAUUUGGAGGCAGCAGGUAGGAAUGAGCUGGAUUGAUCAGCCCUCUUGUCUCCCACCCGCUCACUGCAUCACUCCCACUACUUUUUUUUUGCAGGUUGACUUUAAAUAUGUUUCCUUCUAAAGAGCUUGAAUUUCAUCACCCUAGGUAUGAAGCCGAGGCAACUGCCAGUAAAUUUUCAUAGUCAGAUUGUGUGAUAUCAGAGAAAAUGGGGACUUAACGAAUUCCAGAGUUGCAGAGUUGUUCCUUGGAUUCCGAUUUUUAAAAUGAGAACAUUUUGGUUCAGAGAGGUUAAUGGCUUGCCCCGGGUCACAUGCCUGCCAUUGGUGCCACCAAGAAUAGAGUCCAGCUCUCCAGUUCUCUUGGUCCCUGCUAUCUUGCAUUGAUUGCAUUUUGCUCUGGUUGCCUCUUGUUUAUGGUUCUUAAGCUUGGCAUGUCCAUUAGCAGAAGGAGAGAUAUUUAUCAUAACACUAAUGAUUGAUAUUUAUUGAAAUGUGUUCCAUGGACUGAGCAUUGUGCUUAGUGUUUAUAAUCCAAUCUCUGAAGAAUUUACAAAUGAGAGAUGCGGGGCUCAGAGAGGCCAAGUGAGUUGUCCAAGGUCACACCAGUAGUAAAUGUAAUAUUUGGUUGCCAGAGGGCCAGACCAUUGGGUGUUCUUUUUUUAAGUCAACACUCUUUUUUUUUUUUUUUUUUAAUUUCCUUAAAUAAUCCCUACACCCAGUGUGAGGCUCUAACUCACAAUUCCGAGAUCAAGAGUCACAUGCUUUACCAACUGAGCCAGCCAGGCACCCCAUGGGGUGUUCUUUUUAAUUUCCUCUCAUAAGCUUUUUGGACCUAUUUGUUGCCCUUGACCUUGGGAAUCAAUAUCUUACAUUAAUCCAUUAAUGCAUCUUACAUUAAUCCAUUAAUUCUUACAUUAAUUCUUGUAACUAAUUACAUUAAUACAUUCAUAUGACCGCAGAAAAUAAAGGACAGCCAAACUUACCUACUGUAUUUGUACACAACUCCGUUAGAGCAAGAGUUGUAAAAAUAAAAUUUACAUAACCUUAAACAUUGUUCAAUUACAACAUGGCUAAGCCCUGAGAUUAUCAGAGAUUACUGAAAGUGAAAAUUCUAGCAACAGGUCAUAGGAACGUGUUUCUCCAGUGCAAGUCAGAAUCUCCUGCUACUUGAGGACAAACAGGCCAUUUAUCCAUGAAGAAAACGAGCACCUUCAAUCACGUCAUCCCAUUUAAAGAGAUUUAUGGUGUACGUUCCUAUCAUGAACUUAUCUGGCUUUGAAAGAAGUCAUGGGGAAAACUCGGUUAUCUUGUGCCAACCACCAGCCUGUUUUCCAGAUACUAUGACCUUGAAUCGAUGAGGUAUGAAUUUUCUAUACUUACAUGCUUUUGUAAGUAAAAGUUUUAAUAAAACACUUUCCCCGAAGUUCAUUUUAGUAUCCCCAUUCUAAAGGCCUGACCUUUUCUUGUGCCUUUUCUCCAUUCUAAGUACAUUUAAAGGCAAGCAUCCCCAUGACUUUUGAAUUUGCAAAGCUUUCUGCCUAUAUCAGGGUAAGACUCUGGAGCCACAUUGGAUGGGUUCAAAUCCCAGUCCCUGUGCGACCCUGGACGCGUUACAUAAACUUUGUUGCCUCAUCUCUGACCCGGAACAAUAAAUCUCUCUCCGGGGCGCGUGUGAAAACUAAAUGAGUUUGCACAGCUAAUGUGCCGUAGUGCAGCCGGGCACAGUGACGUGAAGCUCUGAGUAUACUGUAAGUUGCCAAAUUUCAGAAAAAAGUCAGGGCCCUAGAGCCCAUCUGGUUGACGCCCCCCUUUCUUCAUUUACAGAUGGGACCAAGGCCCCGGGAGGGAAGUCACUUACCAGAGUGCGUGGGUUCUUCAUCCAGAACUCAAGUCUUCUGACUCUUGGGGUACGUGCCGUAGCAUAAGAAUAAUGACAUACAAGGCCUUGGAGCAGAUGCUGUGCUCCAGCUGUGUCCCCUGACCUGUCAUUUCCUGCUGCUUCCUCACAUUUUAGAUGAGAUUCUAGAUAGGAAUUACUUCCUGAGGACAGUUUUUUUCCGUAUCAUUUACUCCCCUCCAGAUAUUUUUUAAAAACCAAGAUGAGCUUAACACUCAGAGGACUUGAAAAAAGAGAGGCACUCAUCCGCCGGCCAGCUCUUUGCUCAGGACAGGAGGUGGGUGGAGAAGACUUG